AGUACGAAUCUUGGUUUUGCCCUCCUUUGCUCUUUGCAACUUGAGGCGCUCCCACCAGAUUGAUGCAUGCUUUCGAAGCUUGAUGGCUACAAUCUUCACUUUAAGCUCAUCGGGGACCUCUUUGUAGUCAAAGAUCCGCUCAACAGUGUUAAGCCAAUCUAGAAAGAUGUUGGAUUGCAUUUUUUCUUCAAACUCAGGAAUGUCUACCCUGAUGUCUGAAAAUCGAAACUGAUGACGAUGUUGGUGAGAUGAAGAAGAGUUGCUCCUCCUACCACGACGUAAACUUUAGUCACGGAAGGUGUUGCGAUCUUCUUCAGUGGUGCCGCCGUCCUCUUCACUCGGGUUUUGCUCAUAACGAGCCAACCUUUCGGUAAGAUUUUGGACUUGCCGCCGCAACUCAUCAUUCUCUAUGUCGCGAAGAUCUCGCUCUCUACGAGGUUCUUCAUCGCUAGAACGACUUUGGUUGCCUCGGCUUGCCAUGGUUGGUUGAAGCUUGCGUCAACACCACCACGAGAAAUGCGAUAGGAUUCCUCUCGAAACGUCAAGAGAUGAUAACCUCGCUCUGAUACCACUUGUCAGGAUCAAGCGCUACCAUUACACUAAAACCCGCAGGUAUUAGUGAAGGCGCAACUUUAUUUUCUUAAACUAGCGCAGGGGCCCAUAGCGCCACGAGUCGACUCCGACCAAGCCUCGCCCAACUCCGGACUCCGACAGGGCCUCGCCAGUGGGUUCAGG
rnacentral:lncRNA from 1 species